GUGGAAGGUCUCCCUGAGCCUGUGUCCUUUGCUGGCAGUCCCACUGCCCUCAGAGCGGCAUUCUCCCAGCAGGAUGGGCCUCAGUGCUGCCUGCAGAGCCUUCUGGUGAUGCGGAUGUUCCUCUGCUGAUUCUGUAGCAUCAUAACCAAAGAAGAAAACACUUGUUAAUGGCUUGGGAUAUCCACAUGACAGACACACACACCUGGAGUUUUGAAAGGGAGUCCACGUAUGACAGAUGAAGCU
rnacentral:lncRNA from 1 species